rnacentral:misc_RNA from 1 species
UCUCUCUCUCUCUCUCUCUCUGCACAAAUCGAAGCUUCUUUGACUCUUCUUUGCUUUAAAUUUCAACAUUUGGGGCUUAAUUUCUGUAAAUUCUCCUUAGUUUUCUAUCUCUUCUGUGUUCAUCUCUCAAGUCAAAGCAAAUUUCUAUAAAUUUGUACAUACUGUAGCAUCUCUCCAAAACAACAGAUGCUCUCUCCAAAUUUUCUGUUCUCUGCUUAUUUGUUGAUGUGUUUAUGUACAAAACUAUGAGCCAGUGUGGGGUCUCCUGGGUUUUUAAUCAUCAAGAUCCAAUUGGUUCUCUCUAAAAAAUUUCUGGGUCAUUCUUAUGAACACAUAAUCUUUUAUAAAAAUUUGUGGGUUUUUGUUAAAAUUUGAUUUGAGUUGAACAUAUUACUUGGUUUGGGUUUCAUUUGGGUUUGUGAUCUAUAACAAAUUCUGGUUUCGAUAGAGCCAUGGCGGUCUCAACAAUAGCUUUGUAUGCGAACCCACCUAGCAGCGUAUGUUCAGCACCACAUACGUGCCAAAUCAAUGCACACGCGACGUAUGAUUUUGAGCUGACCUCGAGAUCUUCAUCGGUAGCUUCAUCUAGUUCAUCUUCUUCACAGAAAUCUGUGGUAGGUGGCUUGUCGUGUUUGUUCUCGUCUUCAACUGUGAAACAUUCAUCGUUUUCGGGUGAUAGAGAGGAAUUGGGUUCUUUGUGGCAUGAUAGAGGAGAGGAAUUGAAGGAAUUGAGCAGUUCGUUUCGCUUAUCACCGAGUAAAUAUCUCGGUGGGUCUUCUAUAAAGAGGGAUCAAAGUCCAAUAUCGGUGCUGCAAGGGCCAGUCUCGUGUUCUAGUAGUCCUCCCAUGAGGAUUGCUCGUGAAAGAAGUGCUGAUAUGAGUUUCCAAAGCUCAAUUCAUGGUUCAUUUCGCAGUGGGGCUAGUGGAUUGUUUAAUGGGUUCGUUAGACAUGCGCUAGGAUCUUGUGUUGAUUAUGAUUCGCCGAGUUUUGAUGUUCACAGUGUUGGAACUGAUGGGGGUUCUUCAUCUAUUGCUGUGGAUGAAUUGACAUUUAAUAUGGAGGAUAGUUUUGUGGAGGCUAAUAACGAGCCUUAUGCCAAAGAAUUGCUGAUGGUUGCGCAAAUGAGGCACAAAAUCUUUUGUGAAGAUUUUGUUGUGAAGGCUUUUUAUGAAGCUGAGAAAGCUCAUAGAGGACAGAUGCGGGCAAGUGGAGAUCCAUAUUUGCAGCAUUGUGUGGAGACUGCAGUUUUGCUCGCAAUGAUUGGGGCUAACUCUACAGUGGUCGCUGCAGGGCUUUUACAUGACACUAUUGACGAUUCUUUUUUAAGCUAUGACUAUAUAUUUAGGACAUUUGGAGCAGGGGUAGCUGAUUUGGUGGAAGGGGUCUGUAAGCUUAGUCACUUAAGUAAGCUAGCCCGUGAGAACAAUACAGCAAACAAGACUGUUGAAGCAGAUCGCUUGCAUACCAUGUUCCUUGCCAUGGCAGAUGCCAGGGCUGUCCUGAUAAAAUUGGCAGAUCGAUUGCAUAACAUGAUGACAUUAGAUGCAUUGCCUUUGAUCAAGCAACAGAGAUUUGCUAAGGAGACUUUGGAGAUAUUUGCUCCAUUGGCAAACCGUUUAGGAAUCUCCACUUGGAAAGAGCAACUGGAGAAUCUGUGUUUUAAGCAUCUCAACCCAGAGCAGCACAGAGAUUUGUCUUCUAGACUUGUGCAGUCUUUUGAUGAGGCAAUGAUUACUUCUGCAACAGAGAAAUUAGACCAAGCUCUCAAGGAUGAAGCCAUUUCAUACCAUGUUCUGUCUGGGCGGCAUAAAAGCUUGUAUAGCAUUUAUUGCAAAAUGUUGAAGAAGAAGUUGAACAUGGAUGAGAUUCAUGAUAUUCAUGGUCUACGUCUGAUUGUUGAAAAUGAGGAAGAUUGUUAUAGAGCAUUGAAAGUUGUUCACCAGUUGUGGUCUGAAGUACCUGGAAAAUUCAAAGACUACAUAAAACAUCCCAAGUUCAAUGGAUAUCAAUCUCUCCACACCGUAGUAAUGGCUGAAGGCAUGGUGCCACUUGAAGUUCAAAUUCGAACAAAGGAGAUGCAUUUGCAAGCUGAGUUUGGAUUUGCAGCUCAUUGGAGAUACAAGGAAGGUGAUUGCAAGCACUCUUCAUUUGUGCUUCAGAUGGUUGAGUGGGCACGAUGGGUUGUGAGCUGGCAGUGUGAGACAAUGAGCAAAGACCAUUCUUCCAUUAGCUGUGCUGAUUCUAUGAAACCUCCCUGUGCGUUUCCUACUCAUUCUGCUGAUUGCCCAUAUUCCUACAAGCCACACUGUGGCCACGAUGGACCAGUCUUCGUCAUCAUGAUGGAGAAUGACAAGGUUUGAUUCCUUAAUUUCAUGUUGAAUGCAGAAUAAUAGAUAGUAGAGGGCUAAGUAAUCGUUAUCACGUCUGUGCAACCUUUUCUGAGCAAUUAUACUGAUUGUACUUGCUAAUAUAUGUUUAUACUUCAGGGCCACCUCAGGCAGUAAUGAGUGUUUUUGGUAUUUAAUAAUGGAUGAUGAUGAUUGAUGCAACUGUCAAUGUUUGAAAAAAGAGAGAACAAAACAAGUGGCAUAUACUAAUAGGUUUUUAUCAAGUAUCUUAACAAAUUGUGUUUCAUCUGCACUUGGGAUAACUAAUACUUAGGCACUUGGUGGCUUGGUGGUGGUUACAACUUUAUCAGUGGCACUGCUUAACAACUUCACAAGGAAACGUUUACCCUUGUCUUAUUGAAUGUGUACUUGUCAAUGAUGCAGAUGUCGGUGCAAGAGUUUCCUGCAAACUCGACUAUGAUGGAUUUGCUGGAAAGGGUUGGACGGGGAAACUCAAGAUGGUCUUCAUAUGGGUUUCCUGUCAAGGAAGAAUUGAGGCCAAGGCUGAAUCACAAGCCAUUAAGUGAUACUUCACGCAAGCUGAAGAUGGGGGAUGUGGUGGAGCUGACUCCAGCCAUACCUGACAAAUGUUUGACGGAGUGCAGGGAAGAGAUUCAGCGCAUGUAUGACCGGGGAUCGACUACUGUCCCAAGUACAGCAACUGCUGCUGGUGGGAUGGUUGGGUGGAGAAGUUGACCCUUAAUUGAUCGUUCGCCAAGUAGCAUACCAUUUAAUGACAAUUGGUUAUUCUUGUAUAUGCAUGUGUUUGUACAGAACAGUUACAAUGGUUCUGGCAGUGACUUAUUGGAUCCAAAAAUGCCUCCAAAAGAUUUAUUUUAAGUUCCCACAACGAAUGAUGACUACCGUAUUGUCUUUUACGCUACCUUCCCUGAUGGCAUUAUUGUAUUAAGUGGAAACUGUCCUGUUGAUGUAAAAUGUAAUUGAAUCUUACAAGCUUGAAGCAAAAUGUGCAAUUUGGGAUGUGUACGCUCUGCAGAAGAGUCCUAUGCCUGCAAGCCCACGUUAGUAGAACUGGUAGCUUGUAUUACAGUAGUUUUGUGGACCUUUACAAAAGAAGAAUAACGUCUAAUCCUUAAUAGAUUCAACAAAAUCAGCAAUUUUGUUUGUUCGUCUGUGUUUCUCAUUUCAAACUGGGCAAACACGGAGAGGACCAAGACCAAAAUAUUUUUGCAUAGAUCUAAUGGUAACUAAAAGAACACAAACCACUGAAUGUGAUUAAAUCCACUUGCGGGGGUCAAAUAAGAAAAAGGAAGUACCAAGUUAUCUCCUUUUUCCUUCUAAAUUGAUAUAACCGUUGGUUCCUCUUCAUAUAAAUAUAGGACUCUCUUCUCAGCAACAUGGUUUUCUCACUGUCUUAACUGUGGGAGCGUAAAAUUCUUACUUGGAACGUUUGGUAAGGGGAAAGGAUACUCUCUGAGGAGUAUUAUGCUGUGGAACAUCUGUCUUUGGUUCUUGUGAUGGGUUGAGAUCAGUGCUUUCUUCAUCCUCCUCUGUUUCUUCUACUGCCUGGGAAGGCUGCUUCUUUGGGAUGGCAAGUUGGUAGUUUGGGCUAAUCAAGGUGUCCUGCUCUGGUGGAAGUGGAAUACCAGGUCCAGCUAUUGUCUUGGGCAGUGGGAUUUUGUUCCUGUUUCUAGCCAAUUCCAGUAAAACCUCUCUUGGUGGUGGUUGUGAGAAGCUGAAAUUUACUUUCGAUUGAAUAGCAAGCUUGACAUCAUCACAAUCAAUUGCAGAUUUGCCAGCAUGCUCACAAUAAACCUGUGCAUCUGUCAACACAUCAACAACAUAACGAUACCAUAGCUCCAGAAACUGGUGUAUAACACGAGGUUCAUAUUCCUCCACACCCAUUGAUUUCAGUAGCGACUUGACAAUCUUUGCAUCUCUAGGCAGGUCCUCAUCUCCCUCUGCCAUUCUUUCAAACUGGGAAUUAAACUUAGAAAUCGGAAAGACGAAAGCUCUGGUGUAGUAAAUGAGGAAGAAGUAGGGUUCCAGAGCCAGCCAGCCCGCCAGACUUCGGUUGCUG